UACGGGGGGGGCAAGCGUUGUUCGGAAUUACUGGGCGUAAAGCGUGUGUAGGCGGUCUACUAAGUCGGGUGUGAAAGCCCUGGGCUCAACCCAGGAAGUGCACUCGAAACUGGCAGGCUAGAGUACUGGAGAGGUUGGUGGAAUUCUCGGUGUAGAGGUGAAAUUCGUAGAUAUCGAGAGGAACACCGGUGGCGAAGGCGGCCAACUGGACAGAUACUGACGCUGAGACACGAAAGCGUGGGGAGCAAACAGG
rnacentral:rRNA from 1 species